UUAAGCGACUAAGCGUACACGGUGGAUGCCCUGGCAGUCAGAGGCGAUGAAGGACGUGCUAAUCUGCGAUAAGCGUCGGUAAGGUGAUAUGAACCGUUAUAACCGGCGAUUUCCGAAUGGGGAAACCCAGUGUGUUUCGACACACUAUCAUUAACUGAAUCCAUAGGUUAAUGAGGCGAACCGGGGGAACUGAAACAUCUAAGUACCCCGAGGAAAAGAAAUCAACCGAGAUUCCCCCAGUAGCGGCGAGCGAACGGGGAGCAGCCCAGAGCCUGAAUCAGUGUGUGUGUUAGUGGAAGCGUCUGGAAAGGCGCGCGAUACAGGGUGACAGCCCCGUACACAAAAAUGCACAUGCUGUGAGCUCGAUGAGUAGGGCGGGACACGUGGUAUCCUGUCUGAAUAUGGGGGGACCAUCCUCCAAGGCUAAAUACUCCUGACUGACCGAUAGUGAACCAGUACCGUGAGGGAAAGGCGAAAAGAACCCCGGCGAGGGGAGUGAAAAAGAACCUGAAACCGUGUACGUACAAGCAGUGGGAGCCUCUUUAUGGGGUGACUGCGUACCUUUUGUAUAAUGGGUCAGCGACUUAUAUUCUGUAGCAAGGUUAACCGAAUAGGGGAGCCGAAGGGAAACCGAGUCUUAACUGGGCGUUAAGUUGCAGGGUAUAGACCCGAAACCCGGUGAUCUAGCCAUGGGCAGGUUGAAGGUUGGGUAACACUAACUGGAGGACCGAACCGACUAAUGUUGAAAAAUUAGCGGAUGACUUGUGGCUGGGGGUGAAAGGCCAAUCAAACCGGGAGAUAGCUGGUUCUCCCCGAAAGCUAUUUAGGUAGCGCCUCGUGAAUUCAUCUCCGGGGGUAGAGCACUGUUUCGGCAAGGGGGUCAUCCCGACUUACCAACCCGAUGCAAACUGCGAAUACCGGAGAAUGUUAUCACGGGAGACACACGGCGGGUGCUAACGUCCGUCGUGAAGAGGGAAACAACCCAGACCGCCAGCUAAGGUCCCAAAGUCAUGGUUAAGUGGGAAACGAUGUGGGAAGGCCCAGACAGCCAGGAUGUUGGCUUAGAAGCAGCCAUCAUUUAAAGAAAGCGUAAUAGCUCACUGGUCGAGUCGGCCUGCGCGGAAGAUGUAACGGGGCUAAACCAUGCACCGAAGCUGCGGCAGCGACACUAAGUGUUGUUGGGUAGGGGAGCGUUCUGUAAGCCUGUGAAGGUGUACUGUGAGGUAUGCUGGAGGUAUCAGAAGUGCGAAUGCUGACAUAAGUAACGAUAAAGCGGGUGAAAAGCCCGCUCGCCGGAAGACCAAGGGUUCCUGUCCAACGUUAAUCGGGGCAGGGUGAGUCGACCCCUAAGGCGAGGCCGAAAGGCGUAGUCGAUGGGAAACAGGUUAAUAUUCCUGUACUUGGUGUUACUGCGAAGGGGGGACGGAGAAGGCUAUGUUGGCCGGGCGACGGUUGUCCCGGUUUAAGCGUGUAGGCUGGUUUUCCAGGCAAAUCCGGAAAAUCAAGGCUGAGGCGUGAUGACGAGGCACUACGGUGCUGAAGCAACAAAUGCCCUGCUUCCAGGAAAAGCCUCUAAGCAUCAGGUAACAUCAAAUCGUACCCCAAACCGACACAGGUGGUCAGGUAGAGAAUACCAAGGCGCUUGAGAGAACUCGGGUGAAGGAACUAGGCAAAAUGGUGCCGUAACUUCGGGAGAAGGCACGCUGAUAUGUAGGUGAAGCGACUUGCUCGUGGAGCUGAAAUCAGUCGAAGAUACCAGCUGGCUGCAACUGUUUAUUAAAAACACAGCACUGUGCAAACACGAAAGUGGACGUAUACGGUGUGACGCCUGCCCGGUGCCGGAAGGUUAAUUGAUGGGGUUAGCGGUAACGCGAAGCUCUUGAUCGAAGCCCCGGUAAACGGCGGCCGUAACUAUAACGGUCCUAAGGUAGCGAAAUUCCUUGUCGGGUAAGUUCCGACCUGCACGAAUGGCGUAAUGAUGGCCAGGCUGUCUCCACCCGAGACUCAGUGAAAUUGAACUCGCUGUGAAGAUGCAGUGUACCCGCGGCAAGACGGAAAGACCCCGUGAACCUUUACUAUAGCUUGACACUGAACAUUGAGCCUUGAUGUGUAGGAUAGGUGGGAGGCUUUGAAGUGUGGACGCCAGUCUGCAUGGAGCCGACCUUGAAAUACCACCCUUUAAUGUUUGAUGUUCUAACGUUGGCCCCUGAUCGGGGUUGCGGACAGUGUCUGGUGGGUAGUUUGACUGGGGCGGUCUCCUCCUAAAGAGUAACGGAGGAGCACGAAGGUUGGCUAAUCCUGGUCGGACAUCAGGAGGUUAGUGCAAUGGCAUAAGCCAGCUUGACUGCGAGCGUGACGGCGCGAGCAGGUGCGAAAGCAGGUCAUAGUGAUCCGGUGGUUCUGAAUGGAAGGGCCAUCGCUCAACGGAUAAAAGGUACUCCGGGGAUAACAGGCUGAUACCGCCCAAGAGUUCAUAUCGACGGCGGUGUUUGGCACCUCGAUGUCGGCUCAUCACAUCCUGGGGCUGAAGUAGGUCCCAAGGGUAUGGCUGUUCGCCAUUUAAAGUGGUACGCGAGCUGGGUUUAGAACGUCGUGAGACAGUUCGGUCCCUAUCUGCCGUGGGCGCUGGAGAACUGAGGGGGGCUGCUCCUAGUACGAGAGGACCGGAGUGGACGCAUCACUGGUGUUCGGGUUGUCAUGCCAAUGGCACUGCCCGGUAGCUAAAUGCGGAAGAGAUAAGUGCUGAAAGCAUCUAAGCACGAAACUUGCCCCGAGAUGAGUUCUCCCUGACUCCUUGAGAGUCCUGAAGGAACGUUGAAGACGACGACGUUGAUAGGCCGGGUGUGUAAGCGCAGCGAUGCGUUGAGCUAACCGGUACUAAUGAACCGUGAGGCUUAACCUU
rnacentral:rRNA from 1 species